rnacentral:lncRNA from 1 species
GCUUGCCGAGAAAAAUUCGAACCAGAGAAAUAUAAUUGAAUUUUCUAAAUUGUCAAGAGUGUCUCUCUUGUGUUUCCGUGUAAUACGCGUGUGGGUGUAGGUGUGGGUGUGGGUGUGGGUGUUGCUACGACCGAAAAACAGGUGGACACGUCUGCGUUCGCAUGUGUGCGUGCGCGCGCGCGCGUGCUCAUAUGCGUGUAUAUGCGUGGCGUGCGUCGUCUGGUCUCUAUUAAGAAGAACGAGCAGCAGCUGAGUCCGAUUAAUCGAGGAGGGAAGAACCUGGCCAUAGUCGUAGAACUCGUCGUUUUUAAUCCUAAAGGGAAAAUUGAAGCGAAAGAAAUAAGAAAUAAAAGGAAAACAUUAGAAAAAAAUGUAAAAGAAAUAUGUCGGUUGACGUGUUGCUAGAUCAGAAAAUUGAAAACCAUCAUUCUAGUUUCUCGUCGCACUCUCAUCGUAAAAUGAAUGAAUUAUCUUUCUCUUUUCGGUGAAUUUUCUAUGCGUUUCUACCUAUCCGUCUGAGAAUUGAUCAAAAUCGAUUAACGUAUAUUUCUUGGAAGAAUCUCGAAGAAGAAACACGCAAAGUGUGUCUAUUCCGGAAGUAAUUGGGCUGUAAAGAAAAAAAAAAAAAAAAACUACUAUCGCGAUAGAUAGUACGAAUGUAUAGAACAACGAGACUAAAAGAUGUCGAAGACGUCGCUUUGGACAUGGGAUAGAUGAUAGGACCGAUGUUUAUACCAUGCCGUAGAACAGAUGAGUUAAGCAGAAUGGAUUGGACGUAUGGACUCGGGAGGACCCUCCUGAGGACUCUGUCACGGUGAACGAAUUCCUAAAACGCAAGACUGCAACUACGUCAUCGUACGAUCUUAUUUUCCCAACGUGUACGAAAAUAUAUUGAAAUAAUACGCGUGCAAUAGUUACUCCAUCUACUAAAUUCAAAAA